rnacentral:snRNA from 1 species
ACUCUUUUGCAGAGGCAAGACUUUCGGCAGUGACGUUCCAACGGAGCCNAACGGAGCCAAAGUAAUUGCUAGUUGAAAACUAACAUUUCCAACGUGCUGUUUGGAGCAAUCUAAACGGCAAUUUUUGGCGACUCUUCUCGAG